rnacentral:sRNA from 1 species
UAUUAAUUGGCCUUUUUUUGGUUAUACCGAUCGCAGCGUUUCCACGUAUAAAUCUGUGAAGUAUGAUGAUGGCAAUUUAUCUACGGGAAAACGUACGCAGGAGACCGAAGCCAGGACGCAGACAAACUUGGGAAUUGUACUGACAGAUGAGAUGAGACUUGGGACGUAUCGAAAUCUUAGGACUGACGCAACGGUCAGCCAAUAUGGGUCACACACCUGUCAUCGCAGCGGUAACCAGCAAUACAUCAAAAGCAUCGUGUAAACAAGGAGAGUACAGGCCGCUCUGAUGAAAGGCGGAGGGAGAAGAAAUGAAUUGGAUAAAAG